AAUCAACGCUGGCGGCGUGCCUAACACAUGCAAGUCGCACGAGAAAGUGGAGCAAUCCAUGAGUAAAGUGGCGCACGGGUGAGUAACACGUGACUAACCUACCCUAGAGUGGGGGAUAACCUCGGGAAACCGGGGCUAAUACCGCAUAACCUCGUGAGGUGAAAUUCCUUGCGAGCAAAGCCGAAAGGCGCUUUUGGAGGGGGUCGCGGCUGAUUAGCUAGUUGGCGGGGUAACGGCCCACCAAGGCGAUGAUCAGGAUCCGGCCUGAGAGGGCGCACGGACACACUGGCACUGAAACACGGUCCAGACUCCGACGGGAGGCAGCAGUGGGGAAUUUUGCGCAAUGGGGGAAACCCUGACGCAGCAACGCCGCGUGGAGGAUGAAGUCCCUUGGGACGUAAACUCCUUUCGACCCGGACGAAUAAUGACGGUACGGGUGGAAGAAGCCCCGGCUAACUUCGUGCCAGCCGCCGCCGUAAUAC
rnacentral:rRNA from 1 species